rnacentral:rRNA from 1 species
GAUGAACGCUAGCUACAGGCUUAACACAUGCAAGUCGAGGGGCAGCGGUAUCGAAAGCUUGCUUUCGGUAGCCGGCGACCGGCGCACGGGUGAGUAACGCGUAUCGAACCUGCCUCAUACUCGGGAAUAGCCUUGCGAAAGUAAGAUUAAUGCCCGGUGUUUUCAGAGUCCCGCAUGAGGCUUUGAACAAAGAUUUAUCGGUAUGAGAUGGCGAUGCGUCCCAUUAGCUUGUUGGCGGGGUAACGGCCCACCAAGGCAUCGAUGGGUAGGGGGUCUGAGAGGAAGGUCCCCCACAUUGGGACUGAGACACGGUCCAAACUCCUACGGGAGGCAGCAGUGAGGAAUAUUGGUCAAUGGGCGGAAGCCUGAACCAGCCAAGUAGCGUGCAGGAAGACGGCCCUCCGGGUUGUAAACUGCUUUUAGUUGGGAAUAAAACGGGGCUCGUGAGCCCCCUUGCAUGUACCAUCAGAAAAAGGACCGGCUAAUUCCGUGCCAGCCGCCGCCGUAA